rnacentral:rRNA from 1 species
CCUACGGGAGGCAGCAGUGAGGAAUAUUGGUCAAUGGCCGGAAGGCUGAACCAGCCAUGCCGCGUGAAGGUCAGUGCCCUAUGGGCGUUAAACUUCUUUUGUGCGGGAGCAAUAAUGGUCACGUGUGGCCAGACGAGAGUACCGUACGAAUAAGCAUCGGCUAACUCCGUGCCAGCAGCCGCGGUAAUACGGGGGAUGCAAGCGUUAUCCGGAUUUAUUGGGGUUAAAGGGUGCGUAGGCUGUGAGGUAAGUCAGCGGUGAAAUGCCCCCGCUCAACGGGGUGAAGUGCCAUUGAUACUGCCUUGCUGGAAUGCGGAUGCCGUGGGAGGAAUGUGUGGUGUAGCGGUGAAAUGCAUAGAUAUCACACAGAACACCGAUUGCGAAGGCAUCUCACGAAUCCGCGAUUGACGCUGAUGCUCGAAAGUGUGGGUAUCAAACAGGAUUAGAUACCCCUGUAGUC